rnacentral:rRNA from 1 species
GAUGAACGCUGGCGGCGUGCCUAACACAUGCAAGUCGAGCGGCAGCGAGGGGUGCUUGCACCCUGUCGGCGAGCGGCGGACGGCUGAGUAACGCGUGGGAACGUGCCCCAAAGUGAGGAAUAACUGCCCGAAAGGGUAGCUAAUACCGCAUAUUAUCUUCGGAUCAAAGGAUUUAUCCGCUUUGGGAGCGGCUCGCGUCGGAUUAGGUAGUUGGUGAGGUAAUGGCUCACCAAGCCGACGAUCCGUAGCUGGUCUGAGAGGAUGACCAGCCAGACUGGAACUGAGACACGUUCAAGACUCCUACGGGAGGAAGCAGGGAGGAAUCUUCCACAAUGGGCGAAAGCCUGAUGGAGCAACGCGGCGUGCAGGAUGAAGGCCUUCGGGUUGUAAACUGCUUUUAUAAGUGAGGAAUAUGACGGUAACUUAUGAAUAAGGAUCGGCUAACUACGUG